UCACUUCUGAGGAGUCCCACAAUAGGACAAAACGGCCGUCCAGUGC
rnacentral:hammerhead_ribozyme from 1 species